rnacentral:rRNA from 1 species
AACGAACGCUGGCGGCAUGCCUAACACAUGCAAGUCGAACGAGACCUUCGGGUCUAGUGGCGCACGGGUGCGUCACGCGUGGGAAUCUGCCCUUGGGUUCGGAAUAACUUCGGGAAACUGAAGCUAAUACCGGAUGAUGACGUAAGUCCAAAGAUUUAUCGCCCAAGGAUGAGCCCGCGUAGGAUUAGCUAGUUGGUGAGGUAAAGGCUCACCAAGGCGACGAUCCUUAGCUGGUCUGAGAGGAUGAUCAGCCACACUGGGACUGAGACACGGCCCAGACUCCUACGGGAGGCAGCAGUGGGGAAUAUUGGACAAUGGGCGAAAGCCUGAUCCAGCAAUGCCGCGUGAGUGAUGAAGGCCUUAGGGUUGUAAAGCUCUUUUACCCGGGAUGAUAAUGACAGUACCGGGAGAAUAAGCUCCGGCUAACUCCGUGCCAGCAGCCGCAGUAA